rnacentral:rRNA from 1 species
UACGUAGGUGGCAAGCGUUGUCCGGAUUUAUUGGGUUUAAAGGGUGCGUAGGCGGCCUUGUAAGUCAGUGCUGAAAUAUCCCCGGCUUAACCGGGAGGGUGGCAUUGAUACUGCAGGGCUUGAGUAAAGUUGAGGUUGGCGGAAUUGACGGUGUAGCGGUGAAAUGCUUAGAUAUCGUCAAGAACACCGAUAGUGAAGACAGCUAACUAAGCUUUAACUGACGCUGAGACGCGAAAGCGUGGGGAGCGAACAGG